rnacentral:lncRNA from 1 species
CUAGCCGACUGGGCCUCUUUGUGGUUCUGCGUUUAGUAACAAAACAAAAUCAUCAAAAUAACGUUGUCGAAAUCACAAGUUCGAUUCAGACAGAAGUGAAGUCAUAGAAUUAUUCAAAAACUUUAAAAUUAAACUAUUGUUAUAAAUAGAACCCUAAUUAGAGUGAAUGUCUAUCUUAUAGAAGAGUUUUACUUUGAGGCUAAGUCUUUUCUCUUUCUAUAAAUAGAGGGGUCUUACCCCAUUGUAAAUCACCCCAAAGUAUCAAUAAGAAUACUUCUCUCUCUACUUCUCACUAUAUUGUUCUUAUAUUAUACUCUUCCUAUAAAUAGAGGGGUCUUACCCCAUUGUAAAUCACCCCCCAAAGUAUCAAUAAGAAUACUCCUCUCUAUUUCUCUCUAUAUUGUUCUUGUAUUAUUGUUCUUGUUCUUAUAUUAUUUCAUAACAAGUUAUCAGCACGAGUCUCUAACCAAUAGCUGACUACGCCUCCCCUCUCUUUUCCAUGCGGCCUACUGCUCCGGCGAAAUUCUCCGGCGAGUCAUCACUGCUUCUUUCUCCUGUGAAAAUAAUUUCUAUACGGAAAAAUAGAAGAGAUGGUAUCAUCAUAAAGUAN